ACGUUAGCGGCGGACGGGUGAGUAACACGUGGGUAACCUACCUAUAGGACUGGGAUAACUUCGGGAAACCGGAGCUAAUACCGGAUAAUAUUUCGAACCGCAUGGUUCGAUAGUGAAAGAUGGUUUUGCUAUCACUUAUAGAUGGACCCGCGCCGUAUUAGCUAGUUGGUAAGGUAACGGCUUACCAAGGCGACGAUACGUAGCCGACCUGAGAGGGUGAUCGGCCACACUGGAACUGAGACACGGUCCAGACUCCUACGGGAGGCAGCAGUG
rnacentral:rRNA from 1 species